CAGCAGUGCUGCCGGCCGGGAAUCCUCUGUGCCCUAGCUGUGAGCAUUUCUUCCUCCUCAGAGCAGUGGUGAUACGGUAUUGUGACAGAAAGAUCCUUGGUACAACAGAUCGGCGAUAUUAGAGUUGCCCUAUUCCGGCAGCCACUUUUUGUAGCAAUCGACAGCACCUUUCCUGCCUGUUGAAUUAAGGACUUUGAUUCGAGACGAGCAUCUCGACGUCCGAGUUGGACCAUUUCGAUUGGAGGCGGG